GCGGUGUGCCUAAUACAUGCAAGUCGAGCGCACUGGCCCAACUGAUAUGACGUGCUUGCACUGAAUUGACGUUGGAUUCCCAGUGAGCGGCGGACGGGUGAGUAACACGUGGGCAACCUGCCCUGAAGCGGGGGAUAACAUCUGGAAACAGGUGCUAAUACCGCAUAACAACGAAAACCACAUGGUUUUCGUUUCAAAGAUGGUUUCGGCUAUCACUUCAGGAUGGGCCCGCGGUGCAUUAGCUAGUUGGUAAGGUAACGGCUUACCAAGGCGAUGAUGCAUAGCCGAGUUGAGAGACUGAUCGGCCACAAUGGAACUGAGACACGGUCCAUACUCCUACGGGAGGCAGCAGUAGGGAAUCUUCCACAAUGGGCGCAAGCCUGAUGGAGCAACACCGCGUGAGUGAAGAAGGGUUUCGGCUCGUAAAGCUCUGUUGUUGGAGAAGAACGUGCGUGAGAGUAACUGUUCACGCAGUGACGGUAUCCAACCAGAAAGUCACGGCUAACUACGUGCCAGCAGCCGCGGUAAUACGUAGGUGGCAAGCGUUAUCCGGAUUUAUUGGGCGUAAAGCGAGCGCAGGCGGUUGCUUAGGUCUGAUGUGAAAGCCUUCGGCUUAACCGAAGAAGUGCAUCGGAAACCGGGCGACUUGAGUGCA
rnacentral:rRNA from 2 species